UGUUCUAAUAAUGGACUGGGGUCUUG
rnacentral:piRNA from 1 species